GACGAACGCUGGCGGCGUGCCUAAUGCAUGCAAGUCGAGCGAGCGGAACUAACAGAUUUACUUCGGUAAUGACGUUAGGAAAGCGAGCGGCGGAUGGGUGAGUAACACGUGGGGAACCUGCCCCAUAGUCUGGGAUACCACUUGGAAACAGGUGCUAAUACCGGAUAAGAAAGCAGAUCGCAUGAUCAGCUUUUAAAAGGCGGCGUAAGCUGUCGCUAUGGGAUGGCCCCGCGGUGCAUUAGCUAGUUGGUAAGGUAAAGGCUUACCAAGGCGAUGAUGCAUAGCCGAGUCGAGAGACUGAUCGGCCACAUUGGGACUGAGACACGGCCCAAACUCCUACGGGAGGCAGCAGUAGGGAAUCUUCCACAAUGGACGCAAGUCUGAUGGAGCAACGCCGCGUGAGUGAAGAAGGUUUUCGGAUCGUAAAGCUCUGUUGUUGGUGAAGAAGGAUAGAGGUAGUAACUGGCCUUUAUUUGACGGUAAUCAACCAGAAAGUCACGGCUAACUACGUG
rnacentral:rRNA from 1 species